GCUAGCUCAGUUGGUAGAGUAUGAGACUCAAUCUCAGGGUCGUGGGUUCGUGCCCCACAUUGAGCA
rnacentral:tRNA from 1 species